UACGUAGGGUGCGAGCGUUAAUCGGAAUUACUGGGCGUAAAGUGUGCGCAGGCGGCCGCGCAAGUCGAGUGUGAAAUCCCCGAGCUUAACUUGGGAAUUGCGCUCGAAACUACGUGGCUCGAGUGUGGCAGAGGAAGGUGGAAUUCCACGUGUAGCGGUGAAAUGCGUAGAGAUGUGGAGGAACACCGAUGGCGAAGGCAGCCUUCUGGGCCAACACUGACGCUCAUGCACGAAAGCGUGGGGAGCAAACAGG
rnacentral:rRNA from 1 species